UAGGGAAUAUUGGACAAUGGGCGCAAGCCUGAUCCAGCCAUGCCGCGUGCAGGAAGAAGGCCCUAUGGGUCGUAAACUGCUUUUGUACGGGAAGAAACCUCACUACGUGUAGUGAGUUGACGGUACCGUGAGAAUAAGGAUCGGCUAACUUCGUGCCAGCAGCCGCGGUAAUACGAAGGAUCCAAGCGUUGUCCGGAUUUAUUGGGUUUAAAGGGAGCGUAGGCGGCUGAUUAAGUCAGCGGUGAAAGGUAGCAGCUUAACUGUUUUACAUGCCGUUGAUACUGGUUAGCUUGAGUUGACAGAAGGCAGAUAGAAUUCCUGGUGUAGCGGUGAAAUGCUUAGAGAUUACAUGGAAUACCGAUUGCGAAGGCAGGUUACUACCAAUGGAUUGACGCUGAUGGACGAAAGCGUGGGUAGCGAACA
rnacentral:rRNA from 1 species